AUGGGGCUUGCCCGUCAGUGUUUUGUCGGCCAUAGUGCUCACGGCACGCGGGUGACGGCCGUUAGGGCGCACGGGCCGUCCCGACCAGGUGAAAACGGAUCCGGCCCUCACUCUGUCUCCCUCGCGCUCACUCACUGUCACUCUCCCCUCUCACUCUCACUUUUCCCCCUCGCUCUGUUUUCCGUGGCUGAGCUCUCCAUCGUCGUCGACCACCUCAGUUCCUCGUCGCCGGCCAGGAUGCCUUCUUGGAAUGAUGGGGAUGAGAGCUCCGACGACAGCAUGGGGGGCAACCGGAUGGACAUGGAGUACUUUGACACACCUGACACCAUCCCUGAGCCACUCUGGUGUGGUGCUCCCAUGGAGGAAGUUUCCAAGUGUACUCUGCACGAUAUGAAGCCUAGGAAGUGUGUUGCUUUUGAAGGUGCUAACACUGGGAGGAGGUUCUAUGGAUGCCCUGUUCAUGGAGGUGUGAAUUGUGGUGUAGUUCAGUAG
rnacentral:rRNA from 1 species